CUCUAGUGUACCUGGAAAGAGAAAGCUGUAGAUCAGGACCAUCUGGCCAAUAGGACAAACUGUUGAAGGACAACCUUGAUUACUGCACUGUGGACUGAUCCAAGGGAGGAGUGCCACGGCUGUGGAAAAAGGCCUGCCCACGCUCUGG